UACGUAGGCCCCGAGCAUUAUCCGGAAUUACUGGGCGUAAAGAGCGUGUAGGUGUUCGUACAAGUUGGUCGUUAAAUCUCACCGCCUAACGGUGAGGCCGCGAGCAAAACUGUACGAAUUGAGGUUUGCAGGGGCUAGCAGAAUUUCUGGAGUAGGGGUGAAAUCCGUUGAUACCAGAAGGAAUACCAAUGGCGAAGGCAGCUAGCUGGGCAAGACCUGACACUGAGACGCGAAAGCGUGGGGAGCAAACGGG
rnacentral:rRNA from 1 species